rnacentral:rRNA from 1 species
UACGUAGGGACCGAGCGUUGUCCGGAAUCAUUGGGCGUAAAGAGCGUGUAGGCGGCCACUUAAGUCCUGCGUGAAAUCUUGCGGCUCAACCGCAAGCGGUCGUGGGAAACUGGGUGGCUAGAGUGCGGGAGAGGAGAGUGGAAUUCCUGGUGUAGCGGUGGAAUGCGCAGAUAUCAGGAAGAACACCCGUGGCGAAGGCGGCUCUCUGGAACGCAACUGACGCUGAGACGCGAAAAGCGUGGAGAGCAAACAGG